rnacentral:rRNA from 1 species
GAUGAACGCUGGCGGCGUGCCUAAUACAUGCAAGUCGAGCGUACGGACGAGAAGCUUGCUUCUCUGAUGUUAGCGGCGGACGGGUGAGUCACACGUGGAUAACCUACCUAUAAGACUGGGAUAACUUCGGGAAACCGUAGCUAAUACCGGAUAAUAUUUUGAACCGCAUGGUUCAAAAGUGAAAGACGUUCUUGCUGUCACUUAUAGAUGGAUCCGCGCUGCAUUAGCUAGUUGGUAAGGUAACGGCUUACCAAGGCAACGAUGCGUAGCCGACCUGAGAGGAUGAUCGGCCACACUGGAACUGAGACACGGUCCAGACUCCUACGGGAGGCAGCAGUAGGGAAUCUUCCGCAAUGGGCGAAAGCCUGACGGAGCAACGCCGCGUGAGUGAUGAAGGUCUUCGGAUCGUAAAACUCUGUUAGUAGGGAAGAACAUAUGUGUAAGUAACUGUGCACAUCUUGACGGUACCUAAUCAGAAAGCCACGGCUAACUACGUG